UACGUAGGUGGCAAGCGUUGUCCGGAUUUAUUGGGUUUAAAGGGUGCGUAGGCGGUGACCUAAGUCAGUUGUGAAAUACGGCAGCUUAACUGUCGAGGUGCAAUUGAUACUGGGUUACUUGAGUACUGAUGAGGUAUGCGGAAUGGACGGUGUAGCGGUGAAAUGCUUAGAUAUCGUCCAGAACACCGAUAGCGAAGGCAGCAUACUAAGGAGUAACUGACGCUGAGGUGCGAAAGCUAGGGGAGCAAACGGG
rnacentral:rRNA from 1 species